GACGAACGCUGGCGGCGUGCCUAAUACAUGCAAGUCGAGCGAGUCUGCCUUGAAGAUCGGAGUGCUUGCACUCUGUGAAACAAGAUACAGGCUAGCGGCGGACGGGUGAGUAACACGUGGGUAACCUGCCCAAGAGAUCGGGAUAACACCUGGAAACAGAUGCUAAUACCGGAUAACAACAGAUGAUGCCUAUCAACUGUUUAAAAGAUGGUUCUGCUAUCACUCUUGGAUGGACCUGCGGUGCAUUAGCUAGUUGGUAGGGUAACGGCCUACCAAGGCGAUGAUGCAUAGCCGAGUUGAGAGACUGAUCGGCCACAUUGGGACUGAGACACGGCCCAAACUCCUACGGGAGGCAGCAGUAGGGAAUCUUCCACAAUGGACGCAAGUCUGAUGGAGCAACGCCGCGUGAGUGAAGAAGGGUUUCAGCUCGUAAAGCUCUGUUGUUGGUGAAGAAGGACAGGGGUAGUAACUGACCUUUGUUUGACGGUAAUCAAUGAGAAAGUCACGGCUAACUACGUG
rnacentral:rRNA from 1 species